CAAAUGUCCAGUAGGCAGUCUACAAGAUGGCCCCAGUGAUCCCCUCCUCCUGGUAUGCAUGCCUUUGUAACCCUCCCUCCCCUUGAGUGGGGGCUGAUUUAGUGACUUGCUUCUAGAGAAUAGAAUGCAGUAGAGUUGAUGGGAUGUCACUUUUGAUAUUAGUAUAUAAAAAGGCUGUGCACUCUCUCUUGCCUUCUCACUUGCUUUGAGGGAAGCCCACUGCCAUGUUGCAAGCUGCCCUGUGAAGAGGCCUCCAUGACAAAGAACUGUAGGGUCCCCUGGACAACAGCCAGCAAGGCAAUGAGACCCUUAGUCCAAUAGCCCACGAGGAACUGAAUCUUGCCAAGAACCACAUGGAUGAGGUUGCAAGUAGGUCCUUCCCAAGUGUACCCUGGACGACAUUGUUACAUGUGCUUUCCCAAAUCCACGGACUUCUGGCUGAUCCGGGGUUGCAAUAUGCACUGCACCACCAUCCUCUCUCUUGGAAAUUCCCUUCGGCUGGGAAAGAAAUGGAUGAUCAAGGUCAGUGGUUUCCAACCAGGCUGAACAUCAGAAUCCACAGGAAUGAUGCUAAGCCCCAUUUCACCUCUGAGACUUUCAGGUUCAAGCGUCUGGAAUGGGGCCACAGAUCUGAAUUUUUAAAGAAGGGUUCUGGUUGACUCUGACAGUUACAUUAAAUGAGUAUAUUUUGGAACCACCAGGCUGAGUGGCCUUAAAAUUUUCUUCAAGAACUAAGGCUCCAGGGCAGGAGGGUACUAGGGAAACUGCCUGGCCACCUGACCCUUCUCUGAUCUCCUCACUCUCUCAGGUGACCCCUUCCUGGACCUAGCAUCCCUCAACUUUUCUGACUUCCCUGGACCAGGCUGGGAACUCACAUUCUCUUCUAGAGAAUAGAAUGCAAUAGAGUUGAUGGGAUGUCACUUUUGAUAUUAGUAUGUAAAAAGGCUGUGCACUCUCUCUUGCCUUCUCACUUGCUUUGAGGGAAGCCCACUGCCAUGUUGCAAGUUGCCCUGUGAAGAGGCCUCCAUGACAAGGAACUGUAGGGUCCCCUGGACAACAGCCAGCAAGGCAAUGAGACCCUUAGUCUCAUCAAUAGUCUACGAGGAACUGAAUCUUGCAAGAACCACAUGGAUGAGGUUGCAAGGUCCAAUUAGAUAAACUCAUCCUCGCUGGCAGAUAAUGGCACCAAUGUGAUCAUCCUCCUAGAGGUAUUUUCAUCUUGGUAUGGAGCCUCCAGAGCUAUCUUUGCUUGAAAGAAUGAAACUUCAGGAAUGAAAGUUUGCACAUAAAGCAAGCCCAUGAGAAAGACAUUUCGGGAAAACUAGAAUCCUGUUAAGUUAUGGGAUUUUUUUCAAGCCACAUGGUUGAUAAGUAGUCUGACCAGGAUCCUGGAGCAACACAAGGAAGACAAGGACCCUUGAAGACAAGGCAGCCUUGAAACCAAAUGAAGCCCUGGGCCAGUGAGCAUGGCAAGAGGAAGACUGUUAAUUGCGAGAAAGCUGGGUCUUGAAGAUGAUUCCAUAUCAACAUACAGGGAGUUCCACCACUGAAUGGUCUAUCGGUUGGGAAUGCCAUCAUUUAUUUUCACCAGUGGGGAAGAAUUGGUAUUAAUAUCAAAACCACAGUACUGUCAUACCCAGCUAUAAUUUGCAAUGUUUAUAUGCCUGUACGAAUGAAUAAUUAACAGUUAAAUGAAUCAAUAUAUAUCUAUCUAUGUGUAGGAAUAUCUAAUCUAUAAUAUAUGCUCGCGUAAGUGGUAAUUAAUCUCUUUUUUGAGACAGGGUCUUUCUCUGUCAUACAGGCUGGAGUGCAAUGACAUGAUUAUGGACCUUCAGGGAUUGAGCAGCUCGACAUCCCAAGGAUCAAGCAAUCCUCCGGCCUCAGCCUACCAAGUAGCUGGGACUACAGCCAUUUGACACCCCACCCAGUUAAUUUUUGUUUUUUGUUUUUUUGUAAAGACAAGGUUUAGCCAUGUUGCCCAGGCUGGUCUGGAACCCCUGGGUUCAAGCAAUCCUCCCACCUCAGCUUCCCAAAGUGCUGGGAUUAUAGGCAUAAGCCACUGCACCCAGCAUAAAUAAUCUCUUAUUUGUUCAUCCAUGGUGUUGUCUUUAGUUUUUAAAAAUGGAUCCUUUUGUUAUUCUUUUAUAGCCCCAGAUUAAGAAUUUGUCCAAGUUUUGUAUAUUUUUUCAGUUAUUUCAAUAUCAAAGCCCAGCACAUCUUUAAAAUCACUUCUAUGUAUAGAUAUUAACCUUUUUGACAUUUGUGUUUUGGUAUUCCAUAUUUACUCAGUUCUCCUUUCACACCCUCCCUUUAGAAGAGGAGUAUGACCAUGGCAGGAUGGAGGGGUAGUGGCAGUAGGGGCCAUAGUAUGUUUUCUAUAUUUAUCCAGCAUAUUUAAAACAUGGUAUUCUAGCUUCAAGGGAGAACAUUGAACUCCCAUUUGGACAUGUUAAGUUGAAGAUGUCUGUUAGACACCCAAGAGAAUAUGUCAAGCAGAUAUCAUCUGCCCUUGUUUUUCCUUUUCCAAACUGGCUCUCCUUAGUUCCAUCUCCAGAUGACAUGGUCCUCAAACCCUUUGUGAUCUUGGUUCUCUACUCCAGUUCUUCAAUGUUUUUCUUGAAUGUGGCACCCAGAAUUAAAUAGAGCACCCCAGAUAAUGGCUGCCCAGCAGGAUAGACAUGUGUUUGUUAUAUAAUUCUUAGAGACUAUAGCUGACGUCACUGGUGCCCAGCCCAUAUCUUCUUGAGCCCUAGCAUUUUCGUGCAUGGUGGCCUGAUUUCUAACUGUCAGCACCUAAAUAUCUUUGCCUGAGGACUUUCUCUGUCGGCCAGAGCCUGCUUUGUGCACAGUCAGAAGUGCCAAGGAGUCAACACUCCCCAAAGGAGUCUUCAGCCAGUAACGAAAUGAAAGGUGGAGUAUAAAAACCCCAGCUCCCUCACCACUCAGCUGGGGUAGCCCUGAGAUUCAUGCUCUCCACCCUCUUCAGAGUUUCCCGGCAGCAUCAUGUUCCUGUUACCCUUCUCACUACUGACUUGAUGCUCAUCCUUUCUUGGCUCCUUCCCUGUGUCACUUCCCCCAUCCCAUAUGGGAGAAGGCUUCCUGGGUUCACCUUCCAAAGUAAUUACUGGUACUGGAAUUCUCAUCUCAAGUUUUGCCUUAGGGUCACCCAAACUAAGACAGUGCCUAAUGCUGCAUCAGCUUUCUUACCAGUCACAUGAUGCUGUUGUAUCCUUAAUGUCAGAUAAACUCCCAGCUUCUUUUUAUGUCAACUGCUACCAAGCCACACAUUCUCAGUGCUGUGCCUUUGUUAUUGAUUUUUUAACCUAAACUCAGAGUUUAUGUUUAUUCCUGUUAUACUCUUAAGUUUUUUUCCAUAUUCCAACCUAACAGAAUAACUUUGAAUAUUGAUUUGUUCUUUCGUUGUGUUAACUAUCCCUUCCAGACAUGAGUCAUAUGUAGAAAUCUGAUAAGCAUGUUUCCUGUGCCUUCAUUCACUUAAAACAAACAAACAAACAAACUUUGAACAAGGUAGGGUUAGGAAAAGAAUUCUAAACUCAAUUCCUCCCAUUGUUCAAUAAUCAAGAUUCUUUCAGUAAGAAUGCUUAUUGGUAGUGAUUCAAACUAUCUGCACCAGUUCAACCCAGAAUUUACAAAUUUGCCCAUAGGAAUAUCAGGCAAGCUCAGCUCAGUUGCUUUGCUAGAAUAGAGAAGAUCCACAAUUAUGUCAUGCCUCUGAUACAUGAGCCUAUAACCUUAUCAGAAAGGAAAUAUGGUUCAUUUGGCUUGUUAUUAGCAAUUUUAUUUUAACCACUAAGAACCUCUGAAUUCAUUUCUAAAACCCUCCAAUCUUCCUUUUAUUUUCUUUUAUUUAUAUAUAUAUAUUUUUAUUUUAUUUUACUUUAUUUUUGAGACAGAGUCUCACUCUGUCACCAGGCUGGAGUGCAGUGGCAUGAUCUCGGCUCACUGCAACCUCUGCAUCCCGGGUUCAAGCAAUUCCUCUGCCUCAGCCUCCCAAGUAGCUGGGAAUACAGGUGCACACCACCAUGCCCAGCUAAUUUUUGUAUUUUUAGUAGAGAUGGUGUUUCACCAUGUUGGCCAGGAUGGUCUCGAUCUCUUGACCUUGUGAUCUGCCCACCUCGGCCUCCCAAAGUGCUGGGAUUACAGGCGUGAGCCAUCACGCCUGGCCUCCAAUCUUCCUUUUAAUAAUUUGAUCUGGAAUUUUAUCAGGGAGCUAUGCAUGCAUGUCAGGGGAGAUCAAGUUUAUGGUUUCCAGAAUCUACACUUUCUUUUUGAGAAUGGGAACUUUUGCCAGUACAUUGUUUUCCUAUCCUCAUUUCCAUAAUUUCUCAACAACAGUAAGUAGUUUUAAGGUCACAUUUGCAAGUUUUUUGAGGAGCCUGGGAUGUAACUUUUCUGGAGACUUCAACCUACUUUAAAUGGUCACAUGCCCCCUGUGUCCCUCACUGCCUCCCUUCUGCUGAGCUCUCCCCAGUCCUGGGAAGGCUGAUUCUUUAGCUAGAGAACCCAGACCAGCCCUGUGGCCUCAUAUUUCCACAUCAGCCUUCUUGAAUCUGUGUUCCUCCCCCCUCACUUAUCUUUUUACAUCAAACACAUGGCUCAAAGCUUUUGAUAUUUGACUUGACUCUUCAGGACCCCAAGCUCCUCUGACUCAGCCCUCCACCCCCCACCCCUAACCCACGGCCCACUCUGCUUGAGGGCUCCCCAAAACCUCAAACUCCACCGUAAGCUCCCUGAGCAGCCACAAGGAUUUUGGGGUUUGGUUUGGUUUUGCCUCUUACUCCCUUUUCAUUUUCCCUGGCAUCAUUCACAUUCACCAAUCAGAUUCAUUUUUAUCAUCUCCUAUUCCUCAUGAGAAAUACAUUUUUUUAUAACCUUUUACCUUGAAUUCAAAUCCAUUUUUCCUCUGAAGCACCUGAGGUGAGGUGGGUAUCUCCUCUUGUCCUAAUCUUAUCCACAUGCCAUGAUAUGGUUUGUCUGUGUCCCUACCCAAAUCUCAUCUUGAAUCAUAGCUCCUGUAAUCCCCAUGUGUUGUGGGAAGAACCUGGUGGGAGGUAAUUGAAUCAGAGGGGUGGGUUUUUCCCAUGCUGUUCUUGUGAUAAUGAAUAAGUUUCAUGAGAUCUGAUGGUUUUAUAAAGGCGAGUUCCCCUGCAAAAUGCUCUCUUUCCUGCCACCAUGUAAGAUGUGACUUUGCUUCUCCUUUGCUUCCACCAUGAUUGUGAGUCCUCCCCAGCCAUGUGGAACUGUGAGUCAAUUAAACCUCUUUCCUUUAUAAAUUACCCAGUCUCAGAUAUGUCUUUAUUAGCAGCAUCAAAACAGACUAAUACACACCACCAGUUUUCCUCCUGCAUGUUCCUCAGUUCUGCUAGAACUGUAAAAAGAUGGAUUCCAUAGACUGGAGUCACCCUGAGGGCAGGGAUGGACCCCUAU
rnacentral:lncRNA from 1 species